CAGCAGCCGCGGUAAUACGUAGGGUGCAAGCGUUAAUCGGAAUUACUGGGCGUAAAGCGUGCGCAGGCGGUUGUGUAAGACAGAUGUGAAAUCCCCGGGCUCAACCUGGGAACUGCAUUUGUGACUGGCAAGCUAGAGUGUGGCAGAGGGGGGUGGAAUUCCGCGUGUAGCAGUGAAAUGCGCAGAUAUGCGGAGGAAUACCGAUGGCGAAGGCAGCCCCCUGGGACGAGACUGACGCUCAUGCACGAAAGCGUGGGGAGCAAACAGGAUUAGAUACCCCGGUAGUCCCUGUCUCUUAUAC
rnacentral:rRNA from 1 species